GCCGCUGUAGCACAAUGGUAGUGCGUUGCUUUCCUAUAUGGAUGGCACAGGCAAAGGUUGCGGGUUCGAUCCCCGUCAGUGGUU
rnacentral:tRNA from 1 species